rnacentral:misc_RNA from 1 species
AAGUCGUAACAAGGUUUCCGUAGGUGAACCUGCGGAAGGAUCAUUGCAAAUCAAAGAUUGGGGAUGAUAUGAUGCGAUAAGUGUGUGGUGGGUUUGUUUGAGAGCGAUUUUGAACCGUAAGGUUUGAGAGCGAUCUUGACAUUUUGCUGCUACUUGUUGCUUCAAUUUCAUUUUCAUAUACGCACAGCGUGCUUGGAUUUAGAGAGUGAAAAUUCUCUUUGUCCAAACACACUGAUGUUUACGCUUGUUUGUUUGACAAAUCUAUUACAUUUAAAUAUUCAAAACUUUUAACAACGGAUCUCUUGGCUCUU